UAGUGGUGGUGAGGACAUUGAGAAAGUAGUAGCUUACAACGCUCCCAUGCUUCAUGUAUUAGCUCUCCUUCCAUCUGAGAAAAUAUGCAAAUCUUGUUCCUUAAAUC